GUCCUGACUGUGGAGCUUUGUAGUAUCUUGAACUCAGCAGACUACUCCAAUUUUGAUGCUCAAAGGAAGUAUUUUGUCUCUAUUUUCAGCUUCCCUUUAAAAUGAUAUCCUUGACUUUUUCCUACUGUAAACUCAUUGAGCUCCUUGGGGAAUUGGUGACUCAUCAGUGUGUCUGGGAAGUUUUGAGCUUUUUUUCCCUUUCCUUUUCUUCUAAACCAGCCAUAUGGAUUGUCAUUCUUCAAGAUCCAGUUCAGUGCCCUUCAGAGUUUACUUUGGUUGAAGAAAUGGUGUGUCUCUGUUCUCCUGUGUGUUAACCAGAAGCCACAUGCAGCUAUUGAGAAUGUGCAAUGGGACUGAUGUGACCAAGGAGUUGGGUUUUAUGGAAUUGCCACCCACUUCCAGUUACACUUAUGUGCAGAAUUCUACAUUCCUCUGAAGUGGCUUCUCAUCUGUCUUCAU